CAGACCAAGAGAAAGGAGCAGUCACCGAGUGCUCUCUGUGGGCCAGACACUGAUGAGCAAAGAGGCUCUAAGUGGAGCACUUGAAGUGCCAGCACAAGGGCCUGCUGCUGGAGUAAGGCCUCCACUCAGGGGCAGAGGCAUCUGUCUCCCAGGGAGCCUCCUCCUCCAGUGGCAGGGAGUGGGAGACACAGCUGAUCCAAAGACAGGAGUCUUCCCAGUGAGAGGCAACCGAGGGGGGGGGGAGUAUUGCUCCAAGUGUGGUCCCCAGGCUUCUGGUCGCUUCUAAGGCUGGCACCAGGACCCCCUCCUCUGGGAGCAGCGCCCCCGCAUCCU
rnacentral:lncRNA from 1 species